rnacentral:misc_RNA from 1 species
UCCGGUUUGGCACCGGCAGUCCUCCCAGAGUCCCCGACUUGACUCGCUGGCAACUGGGAGCGGGGGUUGCGCUCGUUGCGGGACUUAACCCAACAUCUCACGACACGAGCUGACGACAGCCAUGCAGCACCUGUGCACGGGCUCCGAAGAGGGGCCGAUGUUUCCACCGGCUUUCCCGUGCAUGUCAAGCCUAGGUAAGGUUCUGCGCGUUGCGUCGAAUUAAACCACAUGCUCCACCGCUUGUGCGGGCCCCCGUCAAUUCCUUUGAGUUUCAGCCUUGCGGCCGUACUCCCCAGGCGGGGAACUUAAUGCGUUAGCUUCGGCGCGGACGGAGUCGACACCGCCCACACCUGGUCUACAUCGUUUAUGGCUAGGACUAC